GCCUCAGUUCCUAGAGUUCCUGCCAUUGCCACACACUCUACGCCUAGUACUGUGUGGGGCACAUGGACAGCACACAGGGAGCCUGUCAUUGGGUCUCUGCUCUCCAGGAACACCUAGCAUGCAGGCGACAUCACAAAGAAAGGCAGGACUGGCUGUGGGGUGCAGUGGACUGCAAAGGGGGAGAAAGGACAGAGGCCUUUAGCAAUUAGGGGAAGUUUCACGAGGAGGAGGGGCUGACACCUGAAGCAGUGAUGAGAGUUCAACAGGCAGCAGGUGGGCGGGGAUCUGUGUCUGCAAAAGUUCAGUGGUGAAGGUUGCACCAGGAAAUCUCAAGAGACAGAAAAGAUCAACUACACUGGAGCUGGGGGCAUGUGAAGGAGAAAAAAGGGGAAAGCACGAACACAGUCCCCCACUACCACAAAUUAUGCAGUCAAGUUUCCCACAUUUGGGAAAAUCACAGGGGUCAGCACAUACGGAGUGCAAUGAAUAAGCCUGCCUGGGAAAGCGACCUUUGUGAUCAUGUAUCUCCACUGCCAGAUAAGAUUGGACUGUCUGUCUGGACCAAUGACCUAUGGUGACAUUCUUUGAGAUUUCAGAGGGCAGCAAUGGCACAAACAAGGGGUCGGUCCAAGGAACUCUGAAGGCCGGAUGCCUGAGUGUUUGCAAGGGCAGGUGUUAACAACAAGUAAUCAAGUCAGAAUUCCUAGACACAGCAACCUCCGGAUGAACUGCUCCUUUCCCAAAUGCAGAACACUCAGCUGACAGGCAGGAGUAGAGAAAGCCACCCAGAAUCAGGAAAACACAGCCUGAAGCUCCCGCCUGUGCAUCUCACUUUUGGCUCUCUGGUGAUUCGCUGGGACCUCCAGACUGCCAUUUUCCAUCCAUAGGACCCAGUGGCCAGCAGCCACUACUACAGGACAAGCAUUCAGCUCCCAGUCACAUCCUUUGUACCUCAUAGACACACUUUCUUUGUAUCACACCAGGGCACUCAGUCAAGCACUGUGCCUCAGAGCCCCAGUGGGAAAUCCCAGUCCCUUCUUGGAUGAGAGGUAGGUGGCGGUGUUUGAAUACACACACAUGAUCAUGCAUGCACACACGAUCAAGAGUCAUUGAGAACCAGUUUGAAAGAUCUCCCUAGGUGGUGGUGAGUUAGGGUCGUGGCUGCAGGCCUGCCUGUGGGGUCAUCUGUGCAACUCUCCCUGAAGAGCGAUUGGAGGCAGAUUCUGGUGAAAGAGGGAGCUGCCUUGAUAAUGGCCAAAUAUUAGUGGCACAUGCACAUAUAAUCAGAGCCUGGGACUCUGCUUCCUCCAUCAGCAAGAGCAGGGUGUAUCUUCCCACCUUCCCCAGCCCUCCUGUUUCCCUCCAACACCUGCCAACCCUCAUCUUUUCUUAUUUUACAUUUGAAUUCUUUUGAGUAUCAUAAAAGCAAUAUUCACAGAAUUAAGAAGUAGUAUAGAAAGAUAUGAAAUAUGAAAGUAUUUUCUCUCCAUUUCUCCACCCCAGGAAUAAACGCUAUUAAUGACUAUGUAUAUAUUUUUUCACAAAACGUUAAUGCUUAUAGAGACAUAAUAUGUGCGUGCAUGUGUGUACGUGUGUGUGUAUGUGUAUACACUCACCUGUAUGCAAAGAUGGAUAUACAGCAGGUCCUUGAAUAAAGUCAUUUCAUUCAAUGUCAUUUUACCAUAACAUUGAUGAGAAAAAAAUAAAAAAACUGAUUCCCAGCUGGGGCCAUCGUCUGUGUGGAGUUUGCAUGUUCUCCCACGACUGCAUGGGUUUUCUCCAUGU